rnacentral:pre_miRNA from 1 species
GGACAGUGCUCGAGAGGCAGUGUGGUUAGCUGGUUGCAUAUUGAAUUGACAACGGCUACCUUCACUGCCACCCCGAACAUGUAGUCCA